rnacentral:rRNA from 1 species
AUUGAACGCUGGCGGCAGGCUUUACACAUGCAAGUCGAACGAGUGGCGGACGGGUGAGUAAUAUCUGGGAAACUGCCCGGUGGCGGGGGAUAACUACUGGAAACAGUAGCUAAUACCGCAUACACUCGGAUGUGCCCAUAUCGGAUUAGCUAGUAGGUGGGGUAAAGGAUCACCUAGUCGACGAUCCCUAGCUGGUUUGAGAGGAUGACCAGCCACACUGUGAAUGAGCAACGGCCCAGACUCCUACGGGAGGCAGCAGGGGGGAAUAUUGCACAGUGGGCGCAAGCCUGAUGCAGCCAUGCCGCGUGUAUGAAGAAGGCCUUAGGGUUGUAAAGUACUUUCAGCGGGGAGGCGUUACCCACAGAAGAAGCACCGGCUAACUCCGUGCCAGCAGCCGCGGUAAUUC